rnacentral:rRNA from 1 species
UUUAAGUAUAAAUAUGUAAUAAAAUUAGUAUUAGUUAUGUUCUUGAAAUUUAAAGAUUUUGGCGGUAUUUUAGUCUUUUCAGAGGAACCUGUUCUGUAAUCGAUAGUCCACGAUUAAUAUUACUUAUUUUAAUUAGUUUGUAUAUCGUCGUAGUUGAAUAUUUCAUUAGGAUUUAAAUAUUCAAGAUUUAAAAUAAUAAAUUAAAUCAGAUCAAGGUGCAAUUUAUAAAUAAGAAGAGAUGGGUUACAAUAAAAGUAUUUAUAUGAAUAAAUUAAUGAAAAAGAUUUUGAAGGUGGAUUUGAAAGUAAUAAAAUU